GUGGCCGUAAUUCAGUUGGUAGAAUCCCUGAUUGUGAUUCAGGCAGUCACCGGUUCGAAGCCGGUCGGUCACC
rnacentral:tRNA from 3 species